rnacentral:sRNA from 1 species
CCGGACACGAACACACCUGGUGGGCCCUGGCUGCUGUUCAAUUAAAUUGCCUUGUCAAUAACUGUGGCCAGAUUGUCCGCAAUGGCCGUCCAAGAUAACACACAAGACAAAUGCGGCCGAUACGAGUACGAGAAGGGGAGAAUAUGAGCCUAACCGCUAAUUUGUCAAUAGGGGCUGGGGCUCAACAAGUGGCAGGCUCGACUGUAGGCGCCGUGCCCCAUCUUCUCUACUCCAUUGUCCCGCCCUGAUGGUGACUCCAUCAGACCCAUGCUAAUUAUUCCCACCCCCCCAGGAGCGCGACUUGUUUAUGUACCUAAUUUGUCCAACACGUUAAAGUGUGUUCUCAUUUAGUAGGGAAAAAAAUAAAUAAACCAGUCAGAAGGGAGAGCCGGAGAGCCUCAGGCAAAUAAAAAUUAAUUAAUUUUUUUGGGACAGUUUAAUGAAAAAACAAACGACAAAUGGCCACACACCAAGCCCCUGGAAAACCUUGGGCGGAGGAAGCCAAGGCCGGACAACAAGUCAUACAGUUUUUUGCGGAGUCGCACAGGAUAUCUGUCGAGAGCCCCAAAUAGUUGUCAAGCCCCUCACGUCACGGCCAUUAUGUCCGAGCGGCAAAGCAAAAAAGGGGAAACAGGGAAAGCGAGAAGCUUAACAAGUACACAAGUCCACAAGUCCACAAGUCCACAACAUGUGGGACAAAAAGAGAAGGAAUUUUCGAAGCGAGAAAAACUUCAACUAAUUGCCGGAAGUCCAGAAAACGAUUCCGGCAGCGUUCCGGAAAACGUUUCCAUGGCAAACUCUUUGCUCUCGCAAACCUUUCAGUUUCAUAUUUAUUAAAUGAAUCGCAAAUUGGUCGGGGGAUAGCCGGAGGGGGCCUCGCACAGGUGCCCAGAGGUAAGCUUACUAAUUGCGCCAUAUUGUGCAACGCAUUGAAUGGUACUCGUAAAUCCCAAAACAAUCAAGCGAACUCGAAAAAAUAUGCCAAAGUACUCGCAUGAAUAGAAGAAUGGACAUUGAAAUGAUGGGACUCGGCCAGGCGUUCUCUCGACGGAUAAAUUGAUUUUAGCGGGUACGGGCACCCGCCCGGGUACGGAAACACGAAAUGGGAAAGUUGACAUACUCUUCCACGGACCGAGGCAAUGAAGAGCUUUCCAUUGGAAUUAAUACAAACUACAUAGCCAGUAUUUCUAUAUCAUAAAUCCAGUAGGUUAUACACAUGUACUAAGGGCUCCUCACACUCGUACGAGGCGCCAGAGCCUGCCAUCGGAAAAGAGUAGCACGAGCUAAGGAUUGGUAAAUCGGAAAACAAUUUCCAUUUUGAAUGUAUCGCCCUGGCCUCAGUUGCCAUCAACGGAAACCCUAAAGGAACCAUAAAUCUUGCGCCUCCAUGGGGCUAUAUAUUAUAGACUGUCUGCCAGCAGAGAUUGGGUGGAGCACGGGGCUACGUACGUGGUCAAUGGGGACUUUUCAUACACGUGUCGUUGGGUUUUAGGUGCCAGGUUUUGGCAGGAUUGCGUUGCUACUGUAAACCCCCGAUAAAGUACGAGCAUUAGCAAGUACAUAUACAUAUACUUUGUAUGUUAAUGUGCGAAUGUCAAGAGCUGCACUGGAGCUGGAGCUGGAGCUCGUUGCAACUGGUUUUUCUAGAAUGGUGCCCUCUAUAGACUUAGCUGAAGCUGGCUAAAUGGCAAUAGACUAGACUGUUGGCCAUUGCACAGAGUAUUGCG